CGAGGCUCUAUAGUCAAGUUGACGUAUUUUCCGGAAGCGCGAAUUUCAUACUCACGUAGUAUUAGUUAUAUUCAUGGUUGUACCCAACAAUUUAAAAUAUGGGUCUACCAGCUGAGGUAUUCAUUCAUGUUCGUAUUGUAACAUAUUUUCACUUAUGCUAUAUAUUAGGUAGAUUUCCUCAUUUAACUUACUGGUCACGGUUUUAUUAUGGAGGUAAUGUGCAAAGUUCCUUCGGUAUUUUUUGUAUUUUGUCUUUUCGUUAAGAAUCCCACAGGCUUCAGAGAGUUUUCCAGCUAGGGUUUCUAGCUAGGAUGAUACCACUGAUAGUAAAGCGACUUUGGCUCUGAAAACUUUGAAAAUUAUUUACUCUCAAACCGAUUAGAGUCUUGCCCGACAGCUUGUACAGUAGAAAGUUUUCCACUAAAUAUAUUUUUGUUAGGUUUUUAUAUGUAUAUGACUACUGCUCCCCGCACCCGAGCUAUGUGGAGGGUAUUUCUAACAUUUGUUCCUCCAGUACAAAUGAAAUGAGACCUCCAUAAAUUUGACACAUUUGCUUCAAUACACUCUUUCGAUAAUUACAUCACACAUACUUUUUAUCCUGGAGCCUCUCUCUCAUCAGUAAAUUACGCAACGUGAUCGGCUCACGAUUCAUGAGAGCGAGGCUCCCAGGGCAAAUGACGUAAUUAUCGAAAGGGUGUAUUGCACAGCCAGACGGUCCAUAAUCCUACAAACCAGCCUCAAUGUUGUUUCGUUCACAGUAUUGUCUUGCCAGAUUUCCAGCUAUUAUGUACUAUUUAAAACAUGAGCAACAGUGUUUUAUCAGAUAUAAAUUAUAAAGGUACGAGGCGAAGCCGAGUAUCUUUAGGUCUGAUAAAACACGCACUGCGAAUGUUUUAAAUUGCUUCAAAAACGAAGUAAGUUCAUUGGCGAAGUAAUUUUCAAAAAAUACGUUGUGUAAGUCGAGAAAAUCAAAGUUAAAGUUUAUGUAAAUCAAGGGAAAUCUCUAUCACUUAUAAAGAUACGACGUGACACGCUUAUGAUUUUUCUUUGUGUUUUCCUCAUGAAUUAUUAAUGAGUUUUUGAAAGUUAUAUAAAAAAAUUUUAUAGUUACAUUUUUCAGUUUUCUUCCGGCUGCAAGUUCAUCAUAAGGACACGAAACUUUAUAAUAAAUAAAUCUUUAAAUAAAAUUUUAUUGCAGUGUCAUUUACGGGUGGAUUAUUGUUUGGUGUCGCUUCGUAUAGAAAAUCAUGUUUGGAGAAAAUUAUGCAGCUGGAAAAUUCCGUCUUAGCUGACCAAGUUCGUGAAUACUAUAGAAG